AGCUCCAUUAGUGUACAUCGAUAUUGCUGCGGUUAAAAAGCUCGUAGUUUGAUCUGGGUUGCAUGCGUUGAUACUCCUUUGGAGGUUAUCUUCGCUGCAGCUAAACUGCUGGUUAUCUGCAGGUGUUUUCGGACCCUGUAGCGGCUAGCGAGAUUACUAACACAAAAUCAAAUAGCUUAGAUAAGGCGUCUGCCUGAAUGUUCUAUGCUGGAAUAAUGGAAAAGGACUUCGGUCUUGUUUAUUGGUUCUUAGUUCGAAGUAAUGAUUAAUAGAGACGAUUCGGGGCUGUUCGUAUCAUUACGCGAGGGGUGAAAUCCGUUGACCGUAGUGAGACGUCCAAAAGCGAAAGCAUUCAGCAAGAACGUCUUCA
rnacentral:rRNA from 2 species